AGCAGAAAAGCUGUAUAAAAAACUAAAAGAUAUUUGUCCUCCGAAGAGGGUGGGGGUGGAUAGGGUAAACUUAUUUUAUUCUAUUCUUUUCAAACAUCUGCUUUUCUGUUCUUGAUCUGGGAUCAUCUACCAUUUGACUCCAUCGUUACCUCUUCAGUUGAUUAUCAAUGAGUUGACAUAAAAGGUCCCAUAUUUUAACUGAACCCAAGCUCUUAUAGCACCCUUUUAAAAAGACAGAACAGGAAAUUGUCAGUUCACUAAAUAAAUCUGACUGCUUCCUGUCAUAUCACAGUAUUACAGCUCAUGUCUAUUUGAAAACUAGUGUUGAUACAAAUCUGUGCCUUCUUGACAAACACCCAAUGAGCAACAUAUGUGUGGUGUCACAUUAUAAUAUGCAUGAGAGAGAUAUGACAUCUGUUGUUUUCAUGUAUGUGGUAAAGGAGUUUAGCUCCUCUUGCCAGGAUUACCGUGGAAACAAACUGUGGUUUAGGUGGUAAAUAGACAAGUCUUGUUUCUCUUUGCUAUUUAUUUCUUUACAGUCUGCUGACCAUGAACAGGACAUUACAUACAGCGCAGUGACACACACCAGAAACAGCACAGCAGGAUCCAUUUCCUGAAGCUGAUGAUGAUGUCAAGUACAGCACUGUCAUCCCCCAGCACAAGGCCCAACUAAAAGGACAGACCAAGCAGAGGGAAGCACAGCAGAGACUGACUGGAAUACCUUGGUGGAGUCCUUUUCCUGGAAGGACAGAACACUCCCCUCUCCUGUGUCACAACAUCUAUCUGCCUCCAAUAUGCUUCUGUCAUACCUCUUAACCCACCCCAGAAAGACCC
rnacentral:lncRNA from 1 species